rnacentral:rRNA from 1 species
UUAAGUGAACUGCGCAAGAAGAACGAUCUUCUUACGAUUCAGCCUUGCGACCGUACUCCCCAGGCGGCGAGCUUAACGGCUUCCCUGCGACACUUCGAUCGCGAACUGCGAUCGAAUCAUCUAGCUCGCAUCGUUUACGGCUGGGACUACCCGGGUAUCUAAUCCGGUUCGCUCCCCCAGCUUUCACCCCUCACCGUCGAGCGCGUUCUGGCGGACCGCCUUCGCCAUUCACCAAGCCUGUGGAAAUACCGCAGGCAAUCUGGUGGUCUUCCGCGGAUCAAAGGAUUUUACCCCUACACGCGGAGUACCGUCCGCCUCUCCCGCCUCCUAGUCCCGCAGUAUCCUCUGCAGGCCAGCCGUUGAGCGACUGGAUUUAACAGAGGACUUACGGAACCGGUUACGGGUGCUUUAGGCCCAAUAAUCGUCCCGACCACUCGAGGAGCUGGUAUUACCGC